AUGGUUAGUCAUGUGACUUCAUGAUUCUAAACAAACUAGAAUUAUAAGAAUAGAUCUAGAGAUCUAGCUAGACUUUAUUUUAUAUUAUACUAAUUAUAGUUAUAGUAGAUUUAGAUUUAGUAAUUACUAGAUUUAUGCUUUAGCUGGUAUUGUUUUGUUAGGAAUUAUCACAUUUUAUUAAUUUUAACUAAUAAAUAUAAAUUAGAUCUAAAAUCUAGACUAGAUCUAUCAACUACGACGACUACA